rnacentral:rRNA from 1 species
GACGAACGCUGGCGGCGUGCUUAACACAUGCAAGUCGAACGGAAAGGCCCUGCUUUUGUGGGGUGCUCGAGUGGCGAACGGGUGAGUAACACGUGAGUAACCUGCCCUUGACUUUGGGAUAACUUCAGGAAACUGGGGCUAAUACCGGAUAGGAGCUCCUGCUGCAUGGUGGGGGUUGGAAAGUUUCGGCGGUUGGGGAUGGACUCGCGGCUUAUCAGCUUGUUGGUGGGGUAGUGGCUUACCAAGGCUUUGACGGGUAGCCGGCCUGAGAGGGGGACCGGCGACAUUGGGACUGAGAUACGGACCAGACUCCUACGGGAGGCAGCAGUGGGGAAUAUUGCACAAUGGGCGGAAGCCUGAUGCAGCAACGCCGCGUGCGGGAUGACGGCCUUCGGGUUGUAAACCGCUUUCGCCUGUGACGAAGCGUGAGUGACGGUAAUGGGUAAAGAAGCACCGGCUAACUACGUG